rnacentral:rRNA from 1 species
ACGAACGCUGGCGGCGUGCUUAACACAUGCCAGUCGAACGGGCCCGCUCUCUUUUUUGGGGGUGGGUUGAGUGGCGAACGGGUGAGUAUCACGUGAGUAACCUGCCCCCUGCUCCUGGAUAACUGCUUGAAAGGGCGGCUAAUACGGGGUGUGCCGGCUGGUCCGCAUGGGCCUGGUCGGGAUAGUUUCAUCUUCGGGUGUUUCGGUGGGGGAUGGGCUCGCGGCCUAUCAGCUUGUUGGUGGGGUGAUGGCCCACCAAGGCGGUGACGGGUAGCCGGCCUGAGAGGGUGGGCGGCCACACUGGGACUGAGACACGGCCCAGACUCCUGCGGGAGGCAGCAGUGGGGGGUAUUGCACAAUGGGCGGAAGCCUGAUGCAGCGACGUCGCGUGAGGGAUGGAGGCCUUCGGGUUGUGAACCUCUUUCUCCGGUGGUGAAGGCCCUGUCCGUUGCGGCGGGGUUGACGGUAGCCGGGGAUGAAGCGCCGGCUAACUACGUG